UACGGAAGGCAGCAGUGGGGAAUAUUGCACAAUGGGCGAAAGCCUGAUGCAGCUAUGCCGCGUGUAUGAAGAAGGCCUUAGGGUUGUAAAGUACUUUCAUCGGGGAGGAAAAACAAAACUAAUAAUUUUAUUUCUUGACGUUACCCGAAAAAGAAGCACCGGCUAACUCCGUGCCAGCAGCCGCGGUAAUACGGAGGGUGCUAGCGUUAAUCAGAAUUACUGGGCGUAAAGAGCACGUAGGUGGUUUUUUUAAAGUCAGAUGUGAAUCCCUGGGCUUAACCUAGGAACUGCAUUUUGAAACUGAAAUACUAGAGUAUCGUAGAGGGAGGUAGAAUUCUAGGUGUAGCGGUGAAAUGCGUAGAUAUCUGGAGGAAUACCUGUGGCGAAAGCGGCCUCCUAAACGAAUACUGACACUGAGGUGCGAAAGCGUGGGGAGCAAACAGGAUUAGAUACC
rnacentral:rRNA from 1 species